GCCUAACUUCUUAAAGGAGUAGAGUUUUACCAUCCCUCUUCCAUCACUCAUCUCUUGCAAAUCUCCCGUCCUCGUAUGUGCCACUCGAAGAGGUGGUAGUGCACCGCUAAUUCUUCCGAUUCACACCGAUUUGUGACCAAGUUUCAUUUAUUUUCGUUGUUUCUUUGUAGGUCUCAUCGCUGAAAUGAAGAAAGCUUUGUUGUUAUUUCUGUUGUGACUAUUUCUCAAUCUAGUGUUCUUGUUGUUUUGAAAUUUAUUUUGACUAUAUUCGGUGAUUUUCCCUAGUUUGAAGUAACAGACAAAAAGAGAGAGAAGUAAGGAGGAAGAGGAUAAUAGAGAGAGGGUCAGAUUCGUUUGGCACUCAUCUCGGGCCGGAUCCACAAUCUUAAACCCAUCGUCUUCCCCAAAUUCAUUUUGAAGCUGGUCAUCCAUAUUUUCCACACCUCCAGACAGUUUUUUGACUACUAAUCAUUUGUCACGUGAUGAUGUGAUCCAAGGAAUGAAGGUAAGUCCAGGCAAGGAUCCGUUGAUUGUUGACGAGAGGCCCAUGAUGAGGUCACGAGCGAAGAGAGUUAAUGAAGCGAUGUGAUUGCUUAUUCAAGCUACAAUCAACGAAACAUCAAUCUUAGCAAGCAAAGGUACAAGUUUUGUGUUGGGCUCAAAAGAGAAAACAAGUUGAUUCAACGUGAUUCAAGCAACGGACGAAGUGACGGGGCAAAGUAACUAUGUGGCCACAUAGCUAUAGAAGCUAUGCAACCGCAUAGUAGCCUACUACAGAAAAAUGGCAAGGUUUUGACUUGGUCUAUGGGACCACAUGCAGUAAUACUAUGCGGUCGUAUAGUGUGUUUUCGAUGGCAAAUUUUUCAAUUUCGUGAAAUUUUUUAUUUACAUUGAAACUCCAAUUUUUUUAGUAACUUUUGGAAUAUUUAGACUUUAAAUUCGUAU